rnacentral:rRNA from 1 species
UACGUCGGUCCCGGACGGUGCGCGAAUUUACUGGGCGUAAAGGGUCCGUAGGCGGUUUAGCAAGUGGUUGGUGAAAUUUCACGGCUCAACCGUGAAACUGCCUUCCAAACUGCUAAACUUGAGGCAGGGAGAGGGCGGCAGAAUUCCCGGUGUAGCGGUGAAAUGCGUAGAUAUCGGGAGGAACCCCAGUGGCGAAGGCGGCCGACUGGAACUGUCCUGACGCUGAGGGACGAAAGCUAGGGGAGCAAACCGG